rnacentral:rRNA from 1 species
GAUGAACGCUGGCAGCGUGCCUAAUACAUGCAAGUCGAGCGAACAGACGAGGAGCUUGCUCCUCUGACGUUAGCGGCGGACGGGUGAGUAACACGUGGAUAACCUACCUAUAAGACUGGGAUAACUUCGGGAAACCGGAGCUAAUACCGGAUAAUAUAUUGAACCGCAUGGUUCAAUAGUGAAAGACGGUUUUGCUGUCACUUAUAGAUGGAUCCGCGCCGCAUUAGCUAGUUGGUAAGGUAACGGCUUACCAAGGCAACGAUGCGUAGCCGACCUGAGAGGGUGAUCGGCCACACUGGAACUGAGACACGGUCCAGACUCCUACGGGAGGCAGCAGUAGGGAAUCUUCCGCAAUGGGCGAAAGCCUGACGGAGCAACGCCGCGUGAGUGAUGAAGGUCUUCGGAUCGUAAAACUCUGUUAUUAGGGAAGAACAAAUGUGUAAGUAACUAUGCACGUCUUGACGGUACCUAAUCAGAAAGCCACGGCUAACUACGU